rnacentral:rRNA from 1 species
UAACACAUGCAAGUCGAACGGUAACAGGAAACAGCUUGCUGUUUCGCUGACGAGUGGCGGACGGGUGAGUAAUGUCUGGGAAACUGCCUGAUGGAGGGGGAUAACUACUGGAAACGGUAGCUAAUACCGCAUAACGUCGCAAGACCAAAGAGGGGGACCCUCGGGCCUCUUGCCAUCGGAUGUGCCCAGAUGGGAUUAGCUUGUUGGUGGGGUAACGGCUCACCAAGGCGACGAUCCCUAGCUGGUCUGAGAGGAUGACCAGCCACACUGGAACUGAGACACGGUCCAGACUCCUACGGGAGGCAGCAGUGGGGAAUAUUGCACAAUGGGCGCAAGCCUGAUGCAGCCAUGCCGCGUGUAUGAAGAAGGCCUUCGGGUUGUAAAGUACUUUCAGCGGGGAGGAAGGGAGUAAAGUUAAUACCUUUGCUCAUUGACGUUACCCGCAGAAGAAGCACCGGCUAACUCCGUGCCAGCAGCCGCGGUAAUACGGAGGGUGCAAGCGUUAAUCGGAAUUACUGGGCGUAAAGCGCACGCAGGCGGUUUGUUAAGUCAGAUGUGAAUCCCCGGGCUCAACCUGGGAACUGCAUCUGAUACUGGCAAGCUUGAGUCUCGUAGAGGGGGGUAGAAUUCCAGGUGUAGCGGUGAAAUGCGU